rnacentral:rRNA from 1 species
GACGAACGCUGGCGGCGUGCUUAACACAUGCAAGUCGAGCGGUAAGGCCCUUUCGGGGGUACACGAGCGGCGAACGGGUGAGUAACACGUGGGUGACCUGCCCUCAGCUCUGGGAUAAGCCUGGGAAACCGGGUCUAAUACUGGAUAUGACUCCAUGACGCAUGUUGUGGGGUGGAAAGCCUUGUGCGGCUGAGGAUGGGCCCGCGGCCUAUCAGCUUGUUGGGGGGUGAUGGCCUACCAAGGCGACGACGGGUAGCCGGCCUGAGAGGGCGACCGGCCACACUGGGACUGAGACACGGCCCAGACUCCUACGGGAGGCAGCAGUGGGGAAUCUUGCGCAAUGGGCGAAAGCCUGACGCAGCGACGCCGCGUGAGGGAUGACGGCCUGGU